rnacentral:rRNA from 1 species
UACGGGGGGAGCAAGCGUUGUUCGGAUUUACUGGGCGUAAAGGGCGCGUAGGCGGUCGUGACAAGUCACUUGUGAAAUCUCCGGGCUUAACUCGGAACGGUCAAGUGAUACUGUCGGACUAGAGUACAGAAGGGGCAACUGGAAUUCUCGGUGUAGCGGUAAAAUGCGUAGAUAUCGAGAGGAACACCUGCGGCGAAAGCGACUUCCUGGACCAAUACUGACGCUCAUGUGCGAAAGCGUGGGGAGCAAACAGG